rnacentral:rRNA from 1 species
UACGUAGGGGGCUAGCGUUGUUCGGAAUUACUGGGCGUAAAGGGCGCGUAGGCGGUACUUCAAGUCAGGCGUGAAAGCCCCGGGCUCAACCUGGGAACCGCGCUUGAGACUGGAGAACUAGAGUUCGGGAGAGGAUAGUGGAAUUCCCAGUGUAGAGGUGAAAUUCGUAGAUAUUGGGAAGAACACCGAUGGCGAAGGCAGCCAUCUGGACCGACACUGACGCUGAGGCGCGAAAGCGUGGGGAGCAAACAGG